rnacentral:rRNA from 1 species
CAGCAGCCGCGGGAACACGUAGGUGGCGAGCGUUGUCCGGAUUUAUUGGGCGUAAAGGGAGUGUAGGCGGUCUUUCAAGUCUGAUGUGAAAGCCCACGGCUCAACCGUGGAGGGUCAUUGGAAACUGGGAGACUUGAGUGCAGAAGAGGAGAGCGGAAUUCCAUGUGUAGCGGUGAAAUGCGUAGAUAUAUGGAGGAACACCGGUGGCGAAAGCGGCUCUCUGGUCUGUAACUGACGCUGAGGCUCGAAAGCGUGGGGAGCGAACAGGAUUAGAUACCCGAGUAGUCCCUGUCUCUUAUAU